rnacentral:lncRNA from 1 species
CCACGGAGACUGGUUGAGUGCAGGGGGAGUGGGCUACGGCUAGCCCUGGUGGUAGGAUUCACAGGUGUCGGGCUCCUGGGCUGCAGCUGCUCAGUCAUCUCCUGGCACUCAGGUGCAUCAGUUCAUUGUCCUCAUGCCAGUGGUGGGGGCAGCCCUAAUGCACAGGGUCUGAAAAAUGCUCAGGUGUACCUGUAGUGUGUGAGAGGAAGGAGGCUGGAAAAGGUGGGCGUGGCUACCUCACCAGGUGUGGGUCCUUGAGGGAACUUCUGUCUCCUUUCAGGUGGCACAGAAUGUGGUCCUGUACACAGGCGACCCCAACCUGGGGCUGGAGCUGUUUGAGGCAGCUGGAGACAUCUUCGUCAGUGGGGGCCUGAGAGCGGGAGAAAGCUGUGUCCUUCUACCGGGACCGGGUCCUGGCCCUGGCAAUGACUACGGGCAACCGCAAGGCGGCGCUGCAGCUACAGCUGUGCAACAAGCUGGUGGCACUGCUGGCCACACUGGAAAAUCCCCAGGAGUGCUUGGAGUUUGCCUACGUGGCCCUAGCACUCAGCAUCACUCUGGGGGACCAGCUGAACGAGCGCAUGGCCUACCACCGGCUGGCCGCCCUGCACCAUCAGCUGGGUCAUGGCAAGCUGGCAAAGCACUUCUACCUCAAGGUCCUGUAGCUCUGCAACUCGCCGCUAGAGUUCGACGAGGAGACCCUCUACUACGUGAAGGUGUACCUGGUGCUCGGUGACAUCAUCUUCUACGACCUGAAGGUGGGUGGGGAGGGGCAGGGCUUGGGGUGUUCCUGGCCCCCUUGGAGUGGGAUCUCCACCCAGACCCCAGAGGCCUGGGUUCCAGCCUUCCUUAGGAAUGGCCCAGUGGCCUCCCUGGAGCUCUGCACGUGGCUGGAGGAGCCGGCAAGGUCAGCAGAUACAACCCAGCUCCCAAGCUGGCCAGGCCCCACCCUCAAGAACUCAGUCUCAGCCCGGGAGGCUGACACAUGAGUGGGCAAUGGUGUCCUCUGGGUAAAGAAGGAGGAUUGUAGUCGGGGGCCCUCCUGGAGGAGAUGACACCAAAGCUGAUUCUUGACAGUCAAGUGUCAAGUUGCAUUUAACAAAGAAAACAGGGUCGGGAGAAGGACAUUUCG